AGAUAGAAAAGAAUCCGGUGAACGGUGCCUUCAUUUCUCGAAUUUCCUGCUUUCUGUCAACAUGCAUCACACAGAUACGUGCUCUUCCUGUGGUUGCAAUCAGUUUAUCUUUGCAUUCUGCUGUUUUAAAAUUUAACGCCCAUUUCUGUGGAUUGGCAUAGCUCACAUUCUUAUGAAUCACCCACAGUGAUUCCUGAAGGGUCGUCCCCAGCCUCAAGCCUCUCUGCCCGGUAAUUGUGCUUCUUAUCCUCAGAUACCUGCCUUGCAUUGGCCCUGGGUAAAUGUUUCUCUUGGCUGUGAAUAGGCAAUUAAAAUUCUGAGCCUUUUAUGGCUCUGGAUGCUUAUCCCAUGGAACAAGACUCAUCCAGGCGGAUGGCCCACCAAUGCAAAGGGCUGAGGCCACUGUAAGCCAAGGUACGCAACGCUUGCUAAACAGGAAUCCCUGGAAUUAAUCCAUGCAUGAGGCCUUUGUGCCAUGUGACAGUUGAAGGCCAUGGUGACCCCGAACUGUCCCACUCAGAGACGCCUUAACACUGGUUUUCUUCUGUGUCCUAUCAUCUGGGCUCUUGAAUCUAGCCUAUCUUGAGGACUUCAGGGUCUGCAUCCCUCCCCUCUUGGGGACUGUUGAACGGUGUAGCCUGCCUGCAAUCCCAGCACUUUGGGAGGCCAAGGAGGACAGAUCACCUGAGGCUGGGAGUUCGAGACCAGCCUGGCCAACAUGGCGAAAACCCCUCUCUACUAAAAAUACAAAAAUUAGCCGGGUGUGGUGGCAGACACUUGUAAUCCCAGCUAUUCAGGAGGCUGAG